GACGAACGCUGGCGGCGUGCUUAACACAUGCAAGUCGAACGGAAAGGCCCUGCUUUUGUGGGGUGCUCGAGUGGCGAACGGGUGAGUAACACGUGAGUAACCUGCCCUUGACUUUGGGAUAACUUCAGGAAACUGGGGCUAAUACCGGAUAGGAGCUCCUGCUGCAUGGUGGGGGUUGGAAAGUUUCGGCGGUUGGGGAUGGGCUCGCGGCUUAUCAGCUUGUUGGUGGGGUAGUGGCUUACCAAGGCUUCGACGGGUAGCCGGCCUGAGAGGGUGACCGGGCACAUUGGGACUGAGAUACGGACCAGACUCCUACGGGAGGCAGCAGUGGGGAAUAUUGCACAAUGGGCGGAAGCCUGAUGCAGCAACGCCGCGUGCGGGAUGACGGCCUUCGGGUUGUAAACCGCUUUCGCCUGUGACGAAGCGUGAGUGACGGUAAUGGGUAAAGAAGCACCGGCUAACUACGUG
rnacentral:rRNA from 1 species